GACGAACGCUGGCGGCGUGCUUAACACAUGCAAGUCGAACGGAGUGGCGAACGGGUGAGUAACACGUGGGUGACCUGCCCUGCACUUCGGGAUAAGCCUGGGAAACUGGGUCUAAUACCGGAUAGUGUGGGAUGGGCCCGCGGCCUAUCGGCUUGUUGGUGGGGUAAUGGCUUACCAAGGCGGCGACGGUUAGCCGGCCUGAGAGGGUGGACGGCCACAAUGGGACUAGGACACGGCCCAGGCGCCUAUGGUGGGCAGCAGUAGAGAGUAUGGCACAAUGGGCGGAAGCGUGAUGCAGAGACGCCGCGUGGGGGAUGACCGCCUUCGGGUUGUAAACUCCUUUCACCAUCGACGCGGUAGAUGGAGAAGAAGCACCGGCUAACUACGUGCCAGCAGCCGCGGUAAUUC
rnacentral:rRNA from 1 species